rnacentral:SRP_RNA from 16 species
GGCCGGAAUGAAGCAGCACUGGCGCUGGCCGCUGAGGGGCUGGGG